rnacentral:rRNA from 1 species
UACGUAGGGGGCAAGCGUUGUCCGGAUUUAUUGGGCGUAAAGAGCUCGUAGGUGGUUUGGUAAGUCGGAUGUGAAAUCUCCAGGCUCAACCUGGAGGGGUCAUUCGAUACUGCCAUGACUAGAGGUCGGUAGGGGAGUGUGGAAUUCCUGGUGGAGCGGUGAAAUGCGCAGAUAUCAGGAGGAACACCAGUGGCGAAGGCGACUACCUGGCCUGUUCUUGACGCUGAGGCGCGAAAGCUAGGGGAGCAAACGGG